CUGGGCUUGACAUCCGCUGACCGUCCUGGAAACAGGAUCUUCCCCGCAAGGGGACGGCGAGACAGGUGCUGCAUGGCUGUCGUCAGCUCGUGUCGUGAGAUGUUGGGUUAAGUCCCGCAACGAGCGCAACCCUCAUCCUUAGUUGCCAUCAUUGAGUUGGGCACUCUAAGGAAACUGCCCCGGUUAACGGGGAGGAAGGUGGGGAUGACGUCAAGUCCUCAUGGCCUUUAUGUCCAGGGCUACACACGUGCUACAAUGGGCGGUACAAAGGGUUGCAAUACCGUAAGGUGGAGCUAAUCCCAAAAAGCCGCUCUCAGUUCAGAUUAGAGUCUGCAACUCGACUUUAUGAAGGCGGAAUCGCUAGUAAUCGCGGAUCAGCAUGCCGCGGUGAAUACGUUCC
rnacentral:rRNA from 1 species